rnacentral:snRNA from 1 species
GUGAGGGCAAUCUGGCUGUGACAUCUGUCACCCCAUUGAUCGCCAGGGUUGAUUUGGCUGAUCUGGCUGGCUAGGCGGGUGUCCCCUUCCUCCCUCAUGUGUGUCACUCCCGUAGUUGCACGCUCAGUCGAAGAGGACAGCCUUCCCCGAAUAGAGACGGACCAGUCUUCAGUUGAGGGUAUACGAGUAGCUGCGCUCCCCUGCUAGAACCUCCAAACAAGCUCAGAUCAUAAGGAAUAUGAUUGUUAAUUCUCCUUUUAAAUAAAUUUAUGUGUAAAGAGUAAUACAAGAAAAUACUGCUUUGC